AGAAACAAAACCAAAACGUUGCACGCAUGGUUUCUUGUGGGUGGGACAUGAUACCAAUGGUUUUAUGAAAAGGCUAGCUUUCCUGGUAGGUGGGACAUGUUACCAAUGGUUUUAUGGGAUGGCUAGCUGUUCCUGGUAGGUGGGACAUGCUACCAAUGGCUUUAUGGAAUUGCUAGAUGUUCCUGGUGGGUGGGGCAUGUUACCAAUGGUUUUAUGGAAUGGCUAGCUGUUCCUGGUAGGUGGGACAUGCU